UACGGAGGGUGCGAGCGUUGUCCGGAAUCAUUGGGCGUAAAGGGCGCGUAGGUGGCCCGGUGAGUCUUUGGUGAAAGCGCGGGGCUCAACCCUGCGUCGGCCAGGGAUACUGCCGCGGCUCGAGCACUGUAGAGGCAGGCGGAAUUCCGGGUGUAGCGGUGGAAUGCGUAGAGAUGCGGAGGAACACCGAUGGCGAAGGCAGCCCCCUGGGCUAGCACUGACGCUCAGGCACGAAAGCGUGGGGAGCAAACAGG
rnacentral:rRNA from 1 species